rnacentral:lncRNA from 10 species
UUAUCUUUGAUUAGAUGCCAGAAAUGGUCACUUUUACCUUAUUGGGUGGUGGAUCUUUUUGAUUCUUAUAAAUCUUCUUGAGCUUUGUUCUGGGAUGUGUUAAGUUGCCUGGAAAUUGUUUGAUCUUCUUGGGUCUUGCUUUUAUGAUUUAUUUGGCAUAUCUGAGCAGUCUAGGGCUAAUUAUGCCCCACUACUAAGCAAGAUUUUCUGGGGUACUCUACCCAAUGCUCAUAAAGUAUGAUUUCAUUCAGCUGUCAGAGGGGGGAAUAUGCAAUAUUCCCAGCCCCGUGUGAGCAUCAGACAAUGUUCUUUAAUCUUUUCAAAUUAUUUUUCCUCCAUCCUGAAGUGUUACUUCACAUGCAUGUGCUAAUCAGGACUCUGUUGAAUAUCAGAGGGGGAUGCUCUGCAGAUAGUCAGGGCUCUUUCUCUGCACAUCUCUUUCCUUUUAUUACUUUGUCCAUCCAUGAACUCUAGUCCACUUGGUUUCCCUAACUCGCAGCCUUAUUACCUCAGUUCAAGGAUCCUACUGGGCUCCUCUCAGACUUUCUUCUCUGUCCCGUAGCCUGCAUAGUCUCUGAAGGCAGCAAGCUGGGGCAGUCAUAGGGCUUACCUAGUUUGUUUCUUGUCUCUUAGGGAGUAACUAUCCUUUGUUGUCUUAGGUCUAGUGUCUUGAAAAUGGCGUUUCUGACAUUUUAUCUUUUUUAUUUUGAAUGCAGGAGGGUAAAUUCAAUCCUGGUAACUUAAUUGUGGGCAAAAGUGCAAAUCUCCUGGCAUCCAAUUCUUACCAUAGAUUUCUGAUGUCUGGAAGCAUGGUGGAGCAACACACUUCUGAAGGGACAGCAGGUGCUGUAGUGAAGUUUUCCACAAAAGAAGAAAAUGUUGUGCUCUUUGUCUACCUCACCAACUUCCCUUCAGCCCUUGGGGAGUGUAGAAGACCUCCAUGUUCAUCAGGGCUCCAUUUUAAGGAGAGAACAGAAGUUGGAGGAUAAGGUGGGAGUUCUGAUUGAUGUGGACCAGAUAAGGUGACAUCUGGCCAAAGAGGAAGCUGGGAGCCACAGACUGCUAAUAGGAUGAAGGGAGACACAGCUACCCCUCUGUGGGGUCAUCAGAGAUGGAGGGGGCUGGCAUAAAGAUGAACAUCUGCGUCCAAAACCAUAUAACUCCAUACACCACAUCAUCUAAUAGGAGACCAACAUAUUGUCAGAGGCCGCCAGCAACAGAGGGAAGCAGGUAAAGCCAGUGUAAGAUCAGGAGCCUUUUUCCACCAAUGACAAACAGCCACUUAUUUAGAGCGAUCUCUGUUAUUCCUCUUAUUUUCCCUUCUUCCCUCAACAUGAAAGGCACUAGACCCAGAAAAGAAAGGAGAAAAUUAGAAGACAAGACCACAACCUUUUACCACCCUUGGUGUUUUUUUUUUCUUUUUUCUUUUUUUUGACAGUCUCACUCUGUUGCCCAGGUGCUGGAGUGCAGUGGCGUGAUCUCGGCUCACUGCAAACUCCGCCUCCCAGGUUCAAGUGAUUCUUGUGCCUCAGUCUCCCAAGUAGUUGGGACUACAGACAUGCACCACCAUGCCCAGCUAAUUUUGUAUUUUUUUUGUAGUGACAGGGUUUCUCCAUGUCCCCUUCCCACUCUCGUAACUUGAGGUACAAGUCUGGCAAACAUUGAAGCGAGACGAGGAAGUGCUAUUGAAACUGGAUAUGAGAUGGGAGUUGUGAACUAGACCAGACGGGACUUUUGGUAACUGAUAUCGAUGGGAAAGCAAUGGGAUCUACCUGAAAAUAUCAUUAGAAAAUGAUACUGACAGAUAGGACAAAUCAUGGUUAACAGUUGUGGCUAGAGUAAACAAGUUGAACUGUUUAUACCUAUACCGCAAUGGAUUGAGGCUUCUCAAUAAACUGGUUACAUCUGAUCUGCUAACAACAGCUGCUAAACAUUGAAAGGGGUACUGUGCUGACUGCUGUAUACACACUAUGUCAUUUGCUCUUCACAACCUAUAGGAUGGGCACUAGUUUUUCCCCCUUUUGGCAGAUGACAGAAACCGAGGCACAACCAACUUGUCUAAAUAUAGAUUACAGAAAUUUCACAUGUAUCUCUCCAGUUCACAGGAAGUGUCAUUCUCCUUAAUCACUUUGCUCUUAUCCUUGAUGUUUUUCCAAACAUUUUUGCUGAUGUUGAGUGUUUUCCAUUUCUCUGAGCUGUGUUGUCAGUCCAUCUCCUGAUGAAGCAAGGGCAGUUUGAAUGCUGAAUGGAGGUGGAUGAGGAAGGGGAACACUACGUGAAAAUAUUUGUUUUACACAGAUGAAAUGUUGGAUCAGAACGCACGGAACUACAUCCAGGGAGGCCGCGAGGAACACAAGGGGAGCAGAUAAUGACAUGGUCCACAACACACUUAAGGAGUUGGCAGAGUUUGGGAUCAGGGGAUUCUGCGCGUGUGUGGAUAAUCAGCAUUCAGGAGAAGGUGUAGUGCACACCCACAACUCAUGGAGACCCUACUGUGUGCUGGGCUCUGCAUUAGGCCAUGGAAAUAAAAAGAGGGUUUAAUCCUGGCUCCUGUCCUCGAGGAGCUCACAGCCUACUGGAGAGAGAGAGACAUACCCGGAUAUUCUCAAUGUGUUGCAACAAAUGCUAAGCUGGAGACAUGGGCAUGAGAUCCCCUGGUAGAGAG